UGCCGUUGGUCGAGUUCAGCUCAGUUCAGUUGGGAUCAGAUGAGCCAUUGGUUCCUCUCCGGAGGUGAACUAAACUAGAUCCGGAUGUAGAGGCGGCUUUAGCCCGCGUCAUCCGAGCUCACGGUCUGAACCGGGACACUUUUCACAUUUUAUUUAACCCGGGACAACUGCUGCAACUAGCAGAGAGAGCCGGGGCGGAGGGGAGGAGGGAGAGCCGCCGUUAACGUAACAUCCGUGACGUCGGUCCGCCCGGGCUGCCGCUCUGCUGGGUUUACCACCACGCUGUUUGUCAGGAAGGUUCCUCAUCGUGUUUACGGAGUUAUCGAUUGAUCCGAUCGAGGCCUAAUCGUGGGAUCGAUCAUUGUGUGAUGAUGGAGAGGAAGAGGACGGACUGUCCCGCUCUGCCGCCCGGCUGGAAGAAAGAAGAAGUGAUCAGGAAGUCCGGACUGAGCGCCGGGAAGAGCGAUGUCUACUACUACAGUCCUUCAGGGAAGAAGUUCAGGAGUAAGCCUCAGUUGUCCCGUUACCUAGGAAACAAAGUGGAUUUGGGAUGUUUCGACUUCCGGACGGGGAAGAUGAUGCCUGGGAAACUGCAGAAAAACAAACAGAGGCUUCGACACGACCCGCUCAGCCUGGCCAAGGGAGGAAAACCAGACCUGAACACAGCUCUGCCAAUCAGACAAACAGCGUCCAUCUUCAAACAGCCCGUUACCAAGGUUACAAGUCAUCCUGGCAACAAGGUGAAGACAGACCUGCAGAGAGCAACUGAGCAGCCCAGACAGCUGUUCUGGGAGAAGAGGUUGAAAGGUCUCCGGUCGUCAGACGUCACAGAGGAAGUCCUGAGGACCAUGGACCUGCCCAAAGGGCUGCAGAGUGUGGGCCCAGACUCCAGCGAUGACACUCUCCUGUCAGCCAUCGCCAGCGCUCUGCACAUGAGCUCUUCUCCGAUCACAGGACAGACGUCUGUGGCUGCUGAGAAGAACCCGGCCAUCUGGCUGAACACGUCCCAGCCGCUCUGCAAGGCCUUCACCGUCACUGACGAACAUAUCCGGGAGCAGGAGCUGAAAGUGUACCAGGCCAGGCGGAGUCUGGAGGAGGCGCUGAUGGCCGAUGGUUUGGCGCGGGCCGCCGAAAACACCCGAGAGCUGUUGGAGUGGAAGACAGCCUGAAGACAGAACAGAUGAGCAAUGGCGAAUCAUGGAGCGUCUCAAUAGUUCCUGGUAGUUAGUAGGAAGUGCUAGCAGCGCAGCGGAGUUGCAGCAGAAUAUACCGUCUGUGAUGCACGUUUAACAGCUCAGCUGAUUUUGGAUUGAUGACAAAGGGAGAGGGAAGAUGGAAAAAGAUUGAAAACAAAUGGUAAAUUUAAAAGCACAAGAACCAAAAGGAGAUUCAAUGGAGCCUGAAGAUUCCCUGCAGUGAGACAGCAACCACAACCUGCGUCUCAACUCCCUGGGUUUUACAAGCCUUUCCCUGUUCCUUAUUUAUUCCUAUAAACCAAAUAUUAAGCUCCUCAAUGAUGUUCUUUGUUUGUGAAAAAGUGCAAACACAGUGUUUGAAUACCUCGUAUUUUUGGUUGUUAGCAUCUUUUUUUCCUUAUCAUGGUGCAGACUGUAUGUUAAAACAGCACAGUGGAAAGGACACAAAGUGCUCAACAUGUUAUUCAUGUGUCUGUGUUUAUUAGGGAUUUAUUAAAUUAAUUCAUGACAAUCACUGACAGUCACCUGUCAGUCUCCUUCUGUCCUAUCUGAACAUCAUAAAGAUUACAUUGGUCAUUAAGGUUACUGAGCCUUCACCUAUGAUGGGAUUACUGAAACUUGAAUCUGAUCAGAACUUUGAAACAUUCUUCUCUUCCCCAACAGCAUCAUGCUCUUUAACCACUGCAAGGUGAGCCUGAAACCUUACAGUGUCAACAAGGCAGGUAACACUAGCUGUUAUCCUGAAACAUAGACUGUAUAUUAUCAAAUAGUACAGAGUUUUGCUUAAAAAACACAGUGAUGUAAAUACAUUCAUGUGUCCGUUUUCGAUAUAAAUAAAUCAAUGCAAUUCAA